AUUGAACGCUGGCGGCAAGCCUAACACAUGCAAGUCGAACGAGUGGCGGACGGGUGAGUAAUGUCUGGGAAACUGCCUGAUGGUGGGGGAUAACUACUGGAAACGGUAGCUAAUACCGCAUACCAUCUGAUGUGCCCAGAUGGGAUUAGCUAGUAGGUGGGGUAAAGGCUCACCUAGGCGACGAUCCCUCGCUGGUCUGAGAGGAAGACGAGCCACACGAGAACUGAGACACGGUCCAGACUCCUACGGGAGGCAGCAGUGGGGAAUAUUGCACAAGGGGCGAAAGCCUGAUGCAGCCAUGCCGCGUGGAUGAAGAAGGCCGUCGGGUUGUAGAGUACUUUCAGCGGGGAGGCGUUACCCGCAGAAGAAGCACCGGCUAACUCCGUGCCAGCCGCCGCGGUAAUAC
rnacentral:rRNA from 1 species